rnacentral:sRNA from 1 species
ACGUAGCUCGCAUUAGGGAUGGAAGUGGCAUCCCACGCUUUUUUAAGCGUGGAUAUAGCGGACAGCCCGACCCGCC